rnacentral:rRNA from 1 species
CCUACGGGUGGCAGCAGUGGGGGAUAUUGCACAAUGGGGGAAACCCUGAUGCAGCGACGCCGCGUGUGGGAAGACGGUCCUCUUGAUUGUAAACCACUGUCCCCAGGGACGAAGAUGACGGUACCUGGGGAGGAAGCUCCGGCUAACUACGUGCCAGCAGCAGCGGUAAUACGUAGGGAGCGAGCGUUGUCGGGAAUUACUGGGUGUAAAUGGAGCGUAGGCGGGGAUGCAAGUUGGGGGUCAAAAAGACAGGCUAAACUGGUGGUAGCACUCAAAACUGCAGCUCUAGAGUGAAGUAGAGGAAGGCGGAAGUCCUAGUGUAGCGGUGAAAUGCGUAGAUAUUAGGAGGAACACCAGUGGCGAAGGCGGCCUGCUGGGCUUUUACUGACGCUGAGGCUCGAAAGUGUGGGGAGCAAACAGGAUUAGAUACCCCAGUAGUC